GAACUGAUUAAAAUUUUAAAUAUUUUCAAUGGGGAAAAUUUGUUUGAAAUACGAGCAGAUUGGCUUAUGAGCUUGGUUCCGGAACGAAUUAAACUUGUAUCUCGAGGUUCCACUGUAUGUGGGUGUGUGUGUGGAU